rnacentral:lncRNA from 1 species
GCUGUAAUAGCCUCUGAUGUUGGUGACACAUGCCGAGUACUCUCACCUUACUUCCUAAUUAGCUACUUGCUUAGUUGUCUAAUAGUGUGUCAAACUUUGUUUUGUACAGAAAUAUUCCAUGGACAUUCAUAAAUAAUAUAUACCCUUUCUGAAGAGUGACUCCAAAAGAACUAUUUUGUUAGAUAAACACAUUAAUGAGAACAUUCCAAGGUCAGAUGAAACUGUGGUAAACAAAGAGCCAGUAAAACUACUAGCUGAUGAGAAAAAAAAAAUGGGAUAUAGGAUCGUGCUCAGUGGUAAUCCACUUGCCUACCAUUUGUAAGGCAGGAAACAAACAAGGAAACAUGAAAAGGAGGGAAACAAAAAAAUAGAAAAAUAAGCAAAGAUAAAUUAGCAAAUUCUGAUAGUUAUAUUCAAGUUAUAGUAUUUCAAGAGAAUAUUUUACAAAGUCAAAUAUCAAUAUCCUAUAAUAUGAAAAGCAAAAUACAAUUUAUGACAAAACUACCAGAUUAACCAGCGGACAUGAUGUUAUUCGCAAGCCUCCCGUAUUGCAGGAAGGAUCAGACUUCUUCCCCUUCUGUAAGUAUCGCUACACAGAGAAACCCUGUCUUGAAAAACCCAAAAAUAAAACAAAACAAAGUCUCACUGCACUGAAAUAUAUAGCAAGCAAUCCUGAUGAAUGAUGUGGCAAAAUGAAGACACCUGUUCUUUAGAAAGCACAUUUCUUUCUGUCUUUGACCAAUUAAUUACAGGAGUUGGAUAAUACAAUUAAUAAGAUUGAUUGAGUCAAGAUACAUUGAGUGUGGGGCUGGUGAGAUGGCUCAGCAGUUAAGAGCACCGACUGCUCUUCGUAAGGUCCUGAAUUCAAAUCCCAGCAACCACAUGGUGGCUCACAACCAUCCACAACAAAAAUCUGAUGCCCUCUUCUGGAGUGUCUGAAGACAGCUACAGUGUACACACAUAUAAUAAUUAAUUUAAAAAUUUUUUUUAAAAGAUACAUUGACUGUAUAAUAAAGAAAUUUAUUUUCCCGAUAUCCAUAAAAUAUUUAGAAAAACAUUUAUCAAAUCAAAAUCUAAAAGGAAAAUACAUAUGGUACACCAGUUUAGUCCUACAUCUUGGGAGGCUGAAGUAGGUAUGUUGCAAGUUCAUGGCCACUCUUGAUUACAUAGGGAAACCCUGUCCAAAAGGAAAAAGCAAACAAAUUCUGAAAGGGAACUGUAGCUGAAUCCAGCAGUUGACUAGCCAAGAUAACAGCCGAGAAAUGAAAAGUUAAGUAAACAAACACCCUGCUUGUGCAGACUGCUUCAACUACGGAAGGAAGAUGAUAAUGCCUGCCAGACAGAGGACGUGGAUGGAGGUCUAAGUCACAGAAGCCACUGUAAGGAGAGUACAGAAAAUACCUUGAUGCUCAUAGGAGAUGCUGCCUAAAGAAGGGGUGGGAUGCAGGCCAUUCAUGACAAGUUGUUGGUAACUGAAAAAAAAUUCUAGGAUAUUCUAUAACAGUGAAUUCAAGGCCAGCUGAGGUUAGAAAAGACCCUGUCUCAUGGGGAAGGGUCGGAGGUGGGUGGGAAUUAAUGAAUGCGGUACAAAUAAAUCUAGACAAAUGUUACAAACUGUGGGGGUGAAAAAAGUGUGGGCAUAACUAUAGACCAUUUCCUUUCUCUCCACUGAACCUAGGCUCCUUUGCUCUGAGUAAAAUGCUUUAAUCCUAGUACACUUUUUCUCAAUGUAGCCUUGCUAACAUGCACAAAACCUUAAUUUCAAAACCCAUGCUUCAUAAACCAGGUAUGCUAGCACAUACCUGUAACUACAGCCAGGGAGGUGAAGACAGGGUGAUUAGGAGUUCAAUGCCAGCCAGGGGUGCAGUAGACCUUCCCUC